UCGCAUUGGCCCGCAGGAGCCUACUUGAGAGCCUGCAGGCCAGGGGCGCCCCGCAGGCAGGGCUCGUCCUGUGAUGGGUGUGUCUGGAGAUGUCCCCAGCUGCACAGCUGGUGGUGACAGUGACCCAGGAAGCCACCAGGAGGUCCCAGCACAUGGCACCGAGGACAGGAGACUUGCACAGGCCCAGGCGGGCACAGUGGAUGAACUGGGAGCAAGAGAAGUGGUGGCAGCUAAUGCUGGGCUGGGUGUGGACACCUGCUCCCGUCCCGGGGCCCCGGUUCUCACUUCGUCCAGCAGACUGGUCUGCAGGGCCAUGCCCAGCAUUGGCUGCACCUUCAGGAGCUAGGGGGUGCAGAAGUCUGGAGCACAUGACCAGGACGAGCAUUUGACUCCUAGGCCCGCACGCCUGUCUCCCUUUGCACAUUUGCUGAGCACAAACCCUUGCAGACUCCAGCUCCCAGUGUCCUGAUCUGUAUAUCAGGCUCCUCCAAUAAAGCACGGGUGCCAGCCCGGA